rnacentral:rRNA from 1 species
UAGGGAAUCUUCCGCAAUGGGCGAAAGCCUGACGGAGCAACGCCGCGUGAGUGAUGAAGGUCUUCGGAUCGUAAAACUCUGUUAUUAGGGAAGAACAAACGUGUAAGUAACUAUGCACGUCUUGACGGUACCUAAUCAGAAAGCCACGGCUAACUACGUGCCAGCAGCCGCGGUAAUACGUAGGUGGCAAGCGUUAUCCGGAAAUAUUGGGCGUAAAGCGCGCGUAGGCGGUUUUUUAAGUCUGAUGUGAAAGCCCACGGCUCAACCGUGGGGGGUCAUUGGAAACUGGAAAACUUGAGUGCAGAAGAGGGAAGUGGAAUUCCAUGUGUAGCGGUGAAAUGCGCAGAGAUAUGGAGGGAAAACAGUGGCGGAGGCGACUUUCUGGUCUGUAGCUGACGCUGAUGUGCGAAAGCGUGGGGAUCAAACAGG